rnacentral:misc_RNA from 1 species
CCUAGAGUUGUAGGCUUUGCCUGCUAUCUCUUACCCAGUGUCUUUUGAGUACCUUCGUUUCCUCGGCGGGUCCGCCCGCCGAUUGGACUAUUUAAACCAUUUGCAGUUGCAAUCAGCGUCUGAAAAAACUUAAUAGUUA